rnacentral:lncRNA from 1 species
AUCAGAUCUGAGCUCAGGAUGUGAAGACAGGGAGUGAGAACAGGAAGUCCCAGGGCCUCCGGAGUGGGGGGCAGGCCCAGUGGGGCAGGGAGGGAGCCAGGGUCAGAGGGCACAGAAACCACCCUUGACCAACUUCACAAGGCAAGGCCCACCCCCCUCACCUUCCCACUUCCUCCUCUCCAGCCUGAGCAAAGAAGGGUUUCCUGCACUUCCACACUUGUUGACUUUUGAAUUUACAAGGUGUGCCAAUUGCCAAGGCCCAGCAUGAUUAUACAACUGGACCCGCCUUAAGAAAGCAUCCUCCUCUCCCCAGUCUCCACCAGCAGGAGGAGGGGGCAGAGGCCCAAGACUGGAUCUCUCAGGUGCUGCAAAAAAAUGUAGAGGGAAAACAAUGGAAAAGAAGAUGGAAGAGAGAAAUCAAAAAGACUUGCUGCAAGGAGGAGGACCCAGGCUGGCCCUGCAGCAAGAGAGAGUCUUGUUUAGACAUAAAGAAGAACUUUCUGCCACUGAGGGACAUUCAGCUCAGAGAAAGAAGGGGAAUCUCCCAAAGUCCUUGGGGCAUUGUGGUAAGGACGUUGGGCUCUUCUGUCUGAGCAACCUUUCCUUAGCCCUACAAUGAGGGGGGAGACUGCAUGAUUCCCACCCUCACCCCACCCCCCCAUCACCAGUUCUAACAGUGUUAUGAUUCUGAGAGUCCACUUGGGGCUGGGGACCCAGGCUGUAUCCCAGCUCCCCCAUCAACCGACUUUGGGAACAGGAGCAAGUUACUUCACUGCUCUGGACCUCGUUCUCCCUACCUUUAAAAUGGGCAUAAUCAUCAAGGGCCAGUGAUGAGAUUGCCUGAGUUGAUGGAUAUGAAAUCCAGAGUCGUGUCUCUGAAGUGCUCUACGUGUGCAAAGUGGUCUCCUUGUCUCUGCCACUUCUCCGCUAUUGCUUCUCUCUCCUUUCUUUCCUCUCCCUCUGCCUGCUGUUGGACCCUUCCUCUUUCUUUACUUCUUCCCAGAGGGGAAGUUAAUGUGUUCCCUACCCCAGCUGGUUAACGGCAUGGAGGUUCGUUGUUGCUCUUUAUUUUUAAAAACUGGUUAGCCAGGCAAGUGGACCCAAAAAGAUAGCGGCGCCAAGGGAAACGCCCCUGGGCGCCAAGUCCCUUCCAGCAGGCUUUUGAGGACCCCGGCCGAUUUCCUGCUGGGAAGACCCCCUCUGGGAUUUCUGGCUGGGUCUCUGUGAGAGAGGGACAGAGAGAAAACCAUAGUUAGAACCUUCUUGGACUGGACCAAAAGGCCUUCAAACCUAAUCACUCCCCCUUUUUAGACAAAUGAUCGACUGUUUCGACAAGACAACCAUUGUGUGGGUGAUCUGAUAGCCUCAUACAAUAGCCAAGGAAGCUACAUGGCUGCUUUUAAAAACUGAACUGAUGUUGUUCUGGCCCCCCACCCCACACCCC